GCCCUGUGACUAUAUGUUUAACGGCCGCGGUAUUUUGACCGUGCGAAGGUAGCGCAAUCACUUGUCUUUUAAAUGGAGACCUGUAUGAAUGGCAUAACGAGGGCUUGACUGUCUCCUUUUUCAAGUCAGUGAAAUUGAUCUCCCCGUGCAGAAGCGAGGAUAGGUACAUAAGACGAGAAGACCCUAUGAAGCUUUAGACACUAAAGCAGAUCAUUAAUCAUCUUCCUGAUUAUCAGGGUAUAAGUCAAAUGACACCUGUCCUACUGUCUUUGGUUGGGGCGACCGCGGAGAAAUAAAAAACCCCCGCAUGGACUAAACGUAUGACGUUUAGAACUAAGAGCUACGGCUCUAAUUGACAGAACUUCUGACCGGUAAAGAUCCGGCGUAACGCCGAUCAAUGAACCGAGUUACUCUAGGGAUAACAGCGCAAUCUCCUCUUAGAGCCCAUAUCGACGAGGAGGCUUACGACCUCGAUGUUGGAUCAGGACAUCCUAAUGGUGCAGCCGCUAUUAAGGGUUCGUUUGUUCAACGAUUAAAGUCCU
rnacentral:rRNA from 1 species